rnacentral:rRNA from 1 species
AUUGAACGCUGGCGGCAUGCCUUACACAUGCAAGUCGAGCGGCAGCGCGGGGCAACCUGGCGGCGAGCGGCGAACGGGUGAGUAACACAUCGGAACGUGCCCAGACGUGGGGGAUAGCCCGGCGAAAGCCGGAUUAAUACCGCAUACGAUCUAAGGAUGAAAGCGGGGGACUCGCAAGGGCCUCGCGCGUUUGGAGCGGCCGAUGGCAGAUUAGGUAGUUGGUGGGGUAAAGGCUUACCAAGCCUGCGAUCUGUAGCUGGUCUGAGAGGAUGAUCAGCCACACUGGGACUGAGACACGGCCCAGACUCCUACGGGAGGCAGCAGUGGGGAAUUUUGGACAAUGGGCGCAAGCCUGAUCCAGCCAUUCCGCGUGCAGGACGAAGGCCUCGGUUGGUAACUGCUUUUGUUACGGUAACGAAAGGUACUUACUCUAAUACUAGAGGGCCGACUGACGGUACCGUAACGAAGUAAAGACACCGGCCGUAACUAACGUGUCCGACGCAGCCG